ACCUUUUCCUCUUAAAAUGAUUGAAUCCACACAAUAAAAUCAUUUGAUUAUGUUUUGUUAAGUGUCAACCAUAACCCUUGUCUGAUAAGCUUUGUUUGAUGUGUGGAAAUUAAAGAAAGAUGAUGGAAGUGUUGGUGUUAGGUUGCACAGGAGUGGUGGUAUUCCUUCACGGUGCCCAUUUCUUUUUCCAUGCUCUCACCCAACACAUUGCUCUCCGCUCUCUCUCUCUCAGUUUCUUGGGGUUCGUUGGGUGGUAGAGUAGAGUCGUGAGGAGAACCAAAAACAAUUGGAUGCGCGCAAAGUUCAUAUUAUUUUACUUUUACUUUUACUUUUUAGCGUAGGAAUGAAUAGGAUGGACCACAAUGGUAUGUAAUAAAUAAAUUGAAGCUCUGAAUAUCUCCUUCACCCAAAUGAAUGUUUUAUUCUUGUAAUAUUUUAUUUCUUGCAUCAACAAAAAAUUCAGCUUGAUUUUAUUUUAUCAGAAUGAAUUAAUGUUAAUGUCAAUUUAUA